rnacentral:misc_RNA from 1 species
UCCGGUUUGUCACCGGCAGUCUCCUUUGAGUUCCCACCAUUACGUGCUGGCAACAAAGGACAAGGGUUGCGCUCGUUACGGGACUUAACCCAACAUCUCACGACACGAGCUGACGACAGCCAUGCAGCACCUGUCACUCAGUUCCCGAAGGCACCAAUCCAUCUCUGGAAAGUUCUGAGGAUGUCAAGACCUGGUAAGGUUCUUCGCGUUGCGUCGAAUUAAACCACAUGCUCCACCGCUUGUGCGGGCCCCCGUCAAUUCAUUUGAGUUUUAACCUUGCGGCCGUACUCCCCAGGCGGUCUACUUAUUGCGUUAGCUGCGUCACAAAGUCCUCAAGGAACCCUACGACUAGCACCCAACGUUUACGGCUGGGACUAC